rnacentral:rRNA from 1 species
CUUAUCUUAGCGGCGGACGGGUGAGUAAUGCUUAGGAAUCUGCCUAUUAGUGGGGGACAACAUUCCGAAAGGAAUGCUAAUACCGCAUACGUCCUACGGGAGAAAGCAGGGGAUCUUCGGACCUUGCGCUAAUAGAUGAGCCUAAGUCGGAUUAGCUAGUUGGUGGGGUAAAGGCCUACCAAGGCGACGAUCUGUAGCGGGUCUGAGAGGAUGAUCCGCCACACUGGGACUGAGACACGGCCCAGACUCCUACGGGAGGCAGCAGUGGGGAAUAUUGGACAAUGGGGGGAACCCUGAUCCAGCCAUGCCGCGUGUGUGAAGAAGGCCUUAUGGUUGUAAAGCACUUUAAGCGAGGAGGAGGCUACUGAGACUAAUACUCUUGGAUAGUGGACGUUACUCGCAGAAUAAGCACCGGCUAACUCUGUGCCAGCAGCCGCGGUAAUACAGAGGGUGCGAGCGUUAAUCGGAUUUACUGGGCGUAAAGCGUGCGUAGGCGGCUUUUUAAGUCGGAUGUGAAAUCCCCGAGCUUAACUUGGGAAUUGCAUUCGAUACUGGGAAGCUAGAGUAUGGGAGAGGAUGGUAGAAUUCCAGGUGUAGCGGUGAAAUGCGUAGAGAUCUGGAGGAAUACCGAUGGCGAAGGCAGCCAUCUGGCCUAAUACUGACGCUGAGGUACGAAAGCAUGGGGAGCAAACAGGAUUAGAUACCCUGGUAGUCCAUGCCGUAAACGAUGUCUACUAGCCGUUGGGGCCUUUGAGGCUUUAGUGGCGCAGCUAACGCGAUAAGUAGACCGCCUGGGGAGUACGGUCGCAAGACUAAAACUCAAAUGAAUUG